GACCUCAGGUGGCCUAGUGGUUAUAGCAUCUGCCUCGGAUGCAGGAGGUCGCUGUUCAAUCCCCGGUCGAGUCA